rnacentral:lncRNA from 1 species
AAGGUGGAGGGUCUGUGCGCAAUCCGAAAGAGGAGAGGUUCUGAUGGAUCGGCAGCGCUUUGGACCAAUGAAAGUCGGCAACAGCUUCUGUCUGUCGGCGAUGUAAGCGAGAAGAGAGGGUGAAAAGUUAGGCGGAGCUUAAGGUGACUGGCAGAUGGAUGGACAACUUGUGUAUUGUCCAAUCAGCGCUUCACACACAGAGAUACGGGAGACGGAGGCGGGAUUUGGCGUGUAUGUGGAAGAGUGAGUACAACGAGAGGAAUAGUAAUCAUGCUAAAGCCCAUAUCGCUAUAGCACAGUAAAACAGCAGAAGAUGCCAAAGGAAGAUGUCUUCAAGGAAAAGAAGGGAAGGAAUGUGAUGGAGGAAACCUGUCAAUCAAGAAGGGAAUGCUUUAGGGUGAGUGGACAGAGAAAAAAGGAUCUGCUAAUUCAGGUCUCACUGCCAUACCCAGCUGGAGGGUGCACUCUCUAAGACCUGUUCCUGCAACUAGAUCUAUGCUCAUAGGCCCCUGUGCUUAUGCACAGCCCACUAAAGGAGCCCUUCCAUGUCCUCAUUCAAGAAAUAAACAAGAACUAUGAUUUAUUAAUGAUAAUAAU